rnacentral:rRNA from 1 species
CGUGGAUAAGACAUGCAAGUCGAACGAGAGAAUUGCUAGCUUGCUAAUAAUUCUCUAGUGGCGCACGGGUGAGUAACACGUGAGUAACCUGCCCCCGAGAGCGGGAUAGCCCUGGGAAACUGGGAUUAAUACCGCAUAGUAUCGAAAGAUUAAAGCAGCAAUGCGCUUGGGGAUGGGCUCGCGGCCUAUUAGUUAGUUGGUGAGGUAACGGCUCACCAAGGCGAUGACGGGUAGCCGGUCUGAGAGGAUGUCCGGCCACACUGGAACUGAGACACGGUCCAGACACCUACGGGUGGCAGCAGUCGAGAAUCAUUCACAAUGGGGGAAACCCUGAUGGUGCGACGCCGCGUGGGGGAAUGAAGGUCUUCGGAUUGUAAACCCCUGUCAUGUGGGAGCAAAUUAAAAAGAUAGUACCACAAGAGGAAGAGACGGCUAACUCUGUGCCAGCAGCCGCGGUAAUACAGAGGUCUCAAGCGUUGUUCGGAAUCACUGGGCGUAAAGCGUGCGUAGGCUGUUUCGUAAGUCGUGUGUGAAAGGCGCGGGCUCAACCCGCGGACGGCACAUGAUACUGCGAGACUAGAGUAACGGAGGGGGAACCGGAAUUCUCGGUGUAGCAGUGAAAUGCGUAGAUAUCGAGAGGAACACUCGUGGCGAAGGCGGGUUCCUGGACAUUAACUGACGCUGAGGCACGAAGGCCAGGGGAGCGAAAGGGAUUAGAUACCCCUGUAGUCCUGGCAGUAAACGGUGCACGCUUGGUGUGCGGGGAAUCGACCCCCUGCGUGCCGGAGCUAACGCGUUAAGCGUGCCGCCUGGGGAGUACGGUCGCAAGAUUAAAACUCAAAGAAAUUGACGGGGACCCGCACAAGCGGUGGAGUAUGUGGCUUAAUUCGAUGCAACGCGAAGAACCUUACCUGGGCUUGACAUGUAAUGAACAACAUGUGGAAGCAUGCGACUCUUCGGAGGCGUUACACAGGUGCUGCAUGGCCGUCGUCAGCUCGUGUCGUGAGAUGUUUGGUUAAGUCCAGCAACGAGCGCAACCCCUGUUGCCAGUUACCAGCACGUGAAGGUGGGGACUCUGGCGAGACUGCCCAGAUCAACUGGGAGGAAGGUGGGGACGACGUCAGGUCAGUAUGGCCCUUAUGCCCAGGGCUGCACACGUACUACAAUGCCCAGUACAGAGGGGGCCGAAGCCGCGAGGCGGAGGAAAUCCUAAAAACUGGGCCCAGUUCGGACUGUAGGCUGCAACCCGCCUACACGAAGCCGGAAUCGCUAGUAAUGGCGCAUCAGCUACGGCGCCGUGAAUACGUUCCCGGGUCUUGUACACACCGCCCGUCACAUCAUGGAAGCCGGUCGCACCCGAAGUAUCUGAAGCCAACCGCAAGGAGGCAGGGUCCUAAGGUGAGACUGGUAACUGGGAUGAAGU